UGGGGAAUAUUGGGCAAUGGGCGAAAGCCUGACCCAGCAACGCCGCGUGAAGUAUGAAGGCCUUCGGGUUGUAAACUUCUUUGAUCAGGGAAGAAACAAAUGACGGUACCUGAAAAACAAGCCACGGCUAACUACGUGCCAGCAGCCGCGGUAAUACGUAGGUGGCGAGCGUUAUCCGGAUUUACUGGGUGUAAAGGGCGUGCAGGCGGGCUGAUAAGUCAGAUGUGAAAACUAAGGGCUCAACCCAUAGAUUGCAUCUGAAACUGUUAUGCUUGAGUCAAGGAGAGGAAAGUGGAAUUCCUGGUGUAGCGGUGGAAUGCGUAGAUAUUAGGAGGAAUACCGGUGGCGAAGGCGACUUUCUGGACUUGAACUGACGCUGAGGCACGAAAGCGUGGGGAGCAAACAGG
rnacentral:rRNA from 1 species